GAUGAACGCUGGCGGCGUGCCUAACACAUGCAAGUCGAGCGAUCUUCUUCGGAAGAGAGCGGCGGACGGGUGAGUAACGCGUGGGUAACCUGCCCUGUACACACGGAUAACAUACCGAAAGGUAUGCUAAUACGAGAUAAUAUACUUUUAUCGCAUGGUAGAAGUAUCAAAGCUCUGGCGGUACAGGAUGGACCCGCGUCUGAUUAGCUAGUUGGUAAGGUAACGGCUUACCAAGGCGACGAUCAGUAGCCGACGUGAGAGGGUGAUCGGCCACAUUGGAACUGAGACACGGUCCAAAAUCCUACGGGAGGCAGCAGUGGGGAAUAUUGCACAAUGGGCGAAAGCCUGAUGCAGCAACGCCGCGUGAGCGAUGAAGGCCUUCGGGUCGUAAAGCUCUGUCCUCAAGGAAGAUAAUGACGGUACUUGAGGAGGAAGCCCCGGCUAACUACGUGCCAGCCGCCGCGGUAA
rnacentral:rRNA from 1 species